UACGUAGGGUGCGAGCGUUGUCCGGAAUUAUUGGGCGUAAAGGGCGCGUAGGCGGCUUUAUAAGUCGGGGGUGAAAGCCUGUGGCUCAACCACAGAAUUGCCUUCGAUACUGUAGAGCUUGAGACCGGAAGAGGUAAGUGGAACUGCGAGUGUAGAGGUGAAAUUCGUAGAUAUUCGCAAGAACACCAGUGGCGAAGGCGGCCAACUGGUCCGGUACUGACGCUGAGGUGCGAAAGCGUGGGGAGCAAACAGG
rnacentral:rRNA from 1 species